GAUAAUACCUGUUUAUUGUCAAAUUAUACUGAGAAAUGUCUUAGCUAAUUAUUCUGGCUAGACGAAUAUUGGUUAGAACUUGAUAGGUUCGAGAAGAGAAUUCAAUUAUUAUUGAUAGAUCGAUGCCAAUUAUUUCGGCUAAGAUCGAGAAGUAAAUAGAAUUUGAAAUCAUAGUAUUUCGUUGUUAAAUCAAAAUCUUGAUUCUGAGACUGAGAAGAACAACCUUUUAUAAAAAGGGAAUAUCAUUAAAUCGUAUAUUCGAUCAUUGCGCGCGACUUAAGUAUUAUGCAUAAUAUAGGGUAUAAUAAGCUGAUCACUUGUUAUACUUGCAGAGGGGUAUGAUUUAAUCUUUACGGUUAUCUGAUACACCUGGGUAUAUCAAAGUAUAACUUUGAUAGUUACUCGAGAAGAGAAGUUCAAGAUCCAAUGGAUCGCUCAGUAUAAAUCUGGAAAA
rnacentral:lncRNA from 1 species